rnacentral:rRNA from 1 species
GGCGAACGCUGGCGGCGUGCUUAACACAUGCAAGUCGAACGGUAAGGCCCUUCGGGGUACACGAGUGGCGAACGGGUGAGUAACACGUGGGUGAUCUGCCCUGCACUUCGGGAUAAGACUGGGAAACUGGGUCUAAUACCGGAUAGGACCACUGCCUGCAUGGGUGGUGGUGGAAAGCUUUUGCGGUGUGGGAUGGGCCCGCGGCCUAUCAGCUUGUUGGUGGGGUGAUGGCCUACCAAGGCGACGACGGGUAGCCGGCCUGAGAGGGUGACCGGCCACACUGGGACUGAGAUACGGCCCAGACUCCUACGGGAGGCAGCAGUGGGGAAUAUUGCACAAUGGGCGCAAGCCUGAUGCAGCGACGCCGCGUGAGGAAUGACGGCCUUCGGGUUGUAAACCUCUUUCAGCACCGACGAAGCGCAAGUGGCGGUAGGUGCAGAAGAAGGACCGGCCAACUACGUGCCAGCCGCCGCCGUAA